UACGGAGGGUGCAAGCGUUAAUCGGAAUUACUGGGCGUAAAGCGUGCGUAGGUGGUUCGUUAAGUCCGUUGUGAAAAGCCCCCGAGCUCAACUUGGGAAUUGCAGUGGAUACUGGCGAGCUGGAGUGCGGUAGAGGAAGGUGGAAUUCCCGGUGUAGCGGUGAAAAUGCGUAGAGAUCGGGAGGAACACCAGUGGCGAAGGCGGCCUUCUGGACCAGCACUGACACUCAAGCACGAAAGCGUGGGGAGCAAACAGG
rnacentral:rRNA from 1 species